AUGGCCAACGAAGAGGAUGACCCAGUCAUACAGGAGAUCCACGUGUACUUGGCCAAGAGUCUGGCAGAAAAGCUGUAUCUGUUUCAGUAUCCCGUGCAUCCAGCCUCGAUGACCUACGAUGACAUUCCACACCUCUCAGCCAAGAUCAAGCCCAAGCAGCAGAAGCAAAGGGGAGCAGAUUGAGCUGAACGUGGACGGGGCCUGCGUGGAUGAGACCAGCACGUACUCCUCGAAGCUGAUGGACAAGCAGACCUUCUGCUCUUCCCAGACCACCAGGAACACAUCCCAUUACGCCGCUGCACUCUACAGGCAAGGUGAGCUCUACCUGACACCUUCACAUGGCAUUUUGCAGCUGCGGCCCAGCUUCUCCUACCUGGAUAAGGCGGACGCCAAGCACCGGGAGAGGGAGGCAGGCGAUGAAGCAGGGGACUCUUCACAGGAUGAGGUGGAAGACGAUGUUAAGCAGAUCACGGUGGGGUCCUCGCGGCCCGAGUCACAGCAGGCCCACCAGCGCCGCUUGCAGUCCUAUGAGUUCCUGCAGAAGAAGCAUGCGCAGGAGGCCUGGGUCCACCUGCAUUACUAUGGCCUGAAGGACAGCCGCUCUGAGCACGAGCGCCAGUACCUGCUAUGCCCAGGCUCGAGCGGGGAGGAGAACACAGAGCUUGUCAAGUCACCCAGUGAGUACCUGUUGAUGCUGAUGCCGCCCAGCCAGGAGGAGGAGAAAGACAAGCCUGUGGCCUCCAGCAACGUCCUGUCCAUGGCCCCGCUGCGCACGCUGCCCCUGGCCGGUCAGAUCAAGAUCCUGAUGAAGAACGUGAAGGCCAUGCCUUUGGCCAACUUGAUGAGCCUCCUGGGCCCCGCCAUCGAUUCCGUGGCUGUUCUGCGCGGCAUCCAGAAGGUGGCGAUGUUGGUCCAAGGGAGCCCGGUGGUGAAGCGUGACAUCCUGUGCUCCAAGGACUUAUCCAGCCGUCACAGCGGCGUGCCCGUGCCCGCCGGAGUGCUCUGCGGCGGCUGAGACUUCGUUAUGCGGAAGUUCACGCAGAGCCGCUGGGUGGUUAGGAAGGAGGUGGCAACAGUGACCAAACUCUGCACCGGGGACGUGAAGGACUUCCUGGAGCACGUGGCCGUGGUGAGGAUCAACAACGGCUGGGAGUUCAUUCUGCCUUAGGACGGGGAGUUCAUCAGAAAGCACCGGGAUGCGGUCCAGCGGCAGCACCUGCUGUGGACGGGUAUCCGGGCCACACUGGAAAAAGUCUAUAAUCCUGUAAAGGAAACCAGGCCAAAGAAGCCGGAUGCACAAUCAGGGCCUGCCGGGCUGGUCUCUGGGGACCAGCGGAUCCAAGUAGCCAAAACCAAGGCCCGGCAGAACCACGCGUUGCUGGAGCGGGAACUGCAGCGGCGGAAGGAGCAGCUGCGGGCGCCUGUGGUCCAGCCGGGUGUGCGGAUCAAGGAGGAGCCAGUGAGGGGGGAGGGCGAGGACGAUGACGAGGAGGAGGAGCCCGUGGACACUUGCCCCAGCGGCGGCCUCCACAGCAGGCUGACCAACGGGCUGCCUCCCGGGCGGGCUUCGGGCACGGACAGCUUCAACGGGCAUCCGCCCUCGGGCUGUGCUAGCACCCCCGUGACCGGGGAACUGAGCGCCUUUGGGAAGGCCACCUUUCAGAGACAGUUUGUGUUCACGCUGAGUGAAAUCCAGCUCCUCUUCAACCUGCACAUGGCCAGCCUGCCCCCGGCCACAGGCUCUUCAGUGGCAACUUGGACCGCAUGCUGCGGGACACGGUGUUGGACGCUUGUUGCAGGGAGAUACUGGUACCUUUUCCCACGCAGACUGCUGCUACCCCGGAUGAGCAGAAAGUGUUUGCCCUCUGGGAGUCUGGAGGUACGAGCGAUCAGCAUCGAAGGGUUUUGAUUGAAAUGUUUUCCAAAAAUUACCGAGUACGCCGAAGCAUGAUCCAGUCUCGGUUGACUCAAGAGUGUGGAGAAGAUCUCAGUAAACAGGAGGUGGAUAAAGUACUGAAGGCCUGCUGUGUAAGCUAUGGUGGCAGGUGGUACCUUCAAGGGACAGUACAGUCUUGACAGUCGUAGCAAACCACUAACGCAGCAAAUCCAAGCCCAAGGACAAAGGGCAGAACCAGAAGUAGAGCCUCGACUUGCUUCAGACGACAGAGCAAGAGGAACUGACCAUCUCGUGGUGCAGUGGACAGAAGGGAUCAUCCUCAGCCAGUGGCAGGCUCAGUUAUAUCACUCCCAGAAUAACCAGCUGGGACCUUCUUUGCAGUACAAUUUGAAAUUCCUAAUGUAUUUUGCUUAUUAUUUGGUCUUUUCAUUUUAAAAGCAGGCAGGGAACCCUCAACCCAGGCCUAUUGUGAUCUGCAUUUUUCUUGCAUAAGGAAUUGCAGGGGAAGGUAAGGAAUUGCAGAUGCUUCCCAGGACCUUUUGCCAACAUUUUCCUGGGGACGUGAAAAUGUCGGGAUGGUGUCGAAUUUCCUCUGUGAUAUUCAGUGAUAUGCAGUUGCCCAAGUCGGCACCUAAAAUUUUCAUGUCUUCAACGGGCUGUGUUUGGCUCGUUUUGCUCGGAUAGGGUCCGCAGUUUCACCUCACACAGGAAAGGUGGCUUUCAUAGUCACCUUUUUUCUUCUUUUUUUUUUUUUAAGGGA